rnacentral:misc_RNA from 1 species
GUUCCGAUCCCUCCCCCUUCAAAUCUCCCACACUCGCUGCGAUCACACACAAAUCCACCCCCACCCACGAUCUCGAUUGAGAGCAGCAGCGGAAUCGACGAUGUCGUACGCGUAUCUGUUCAAGUACAUCAUCAUCGGUGACACAGGAGUUGGAAAGUCAUGUCUUCUACUGCAAUUCACAGAUAAGCGUUUUCAGCCUGUGCAUGACUUAACAAUUGGUGUUGAAUUUGGGGCAAGGAUGAUUACGAUUGACAGCAAGCCCAUAAAGCUGCAAAUAUGGGAUACGGCAGGACAAGAAUCAUUCCGAUCCAUAACGAGAUCCUACUAUAGAGGUGCUGCUGGUGCACUCCUUGUCUAUGACAUUACCCGGAGAGAGACAUUCAAUCAUCUUGCUAGUUGGUUAGAAGAUGCUAGGCAACAUGCGAAUGCCAACAUGACGAUUAUGCUGAUUGGAAACAAGUGUGAUUUGGCUCAUAGAAGAGCUGUCAGCACUGAGGAAGGGCAGCAAUUUGCCAGGGAGCAUGGACUAAUAUUCAUGGAAGCCUCUGCAAAAACUGCACAGAAUGUUGAGGAGGCGUUCAUUAGCACAGCGGCAACCAUCUACAAGAAGAUCCAGGACGGAGUAUUUGAUGUGUCAAAUGAGUCUUACGGAAUCAAGGUCGGAUAUGGAGGAAUUCCCGGCACAUCAGGGGAUGCUCCUGCACAAGCCGGUGGCUGCUGCAGUUAGGCUCCUACUGCAUAAAGUGUGAUCCCUGCAACUGAUGAUCAUCUUUAUUUGUUGAAAAGUCUGUCUCUAUCUAGUGAUUUGUUCCCUUUUUUUUUAUCCGUGGAAUGUGAGCUGCAGGGGAUGUGGGAUAUGGU